GAAAUGCGAUAAGUAAUGUGAAUUGCAGAAUUCAGUGAAUCAUCGAAUCUUUGAACGCACCUUGCGCUCCUUGGUAUUCCUUGGAGCAUGCCUGUUUGAGUAUCAUGAAAUCUUCAAAGUAAAUCUUUUGUUAACUCAAUUGGUUUCUACUUUGGUAUUGGAGGUCUUUGCAGCUUCACACCUGCUCCUCUUUGUUCAUUAGCUGGAUCUCAGUGGUAUGCUUGGUUCCACUCGGCGUGAUAAGUUAUCUAUCGCUGAGGACACUGUAAAAGGUGGCCAAGGUAAAUGCAGAUGAACCGCUUCUAAUAGUCCAUUGACUUGGACAAUACUUUUAUGAUCUGAUCUCAAAUCAGGUAGGACUACCCGCUGAACUUAAGC
rnacentral:misc_RNA from 1 species